rnacentral:rRNA from 1 species
UUUAUGGAGAGUUUGAUCCUGGCUCAGGACGAACGCUGGCGGCGUGCCUAAUACAUGCAAGUCGAGCGGAUCUGAUGGAGUGCUUGCACUCCUGAUGGUUAGCGGCGGACGGGUGAGUAACACGUAGGUAACCUGCCUAUAAGACUGGGAUAACAUUCGGAAACGAAUGCUAAUACCGGAUACGCGGAUUGGUCGCAUGGCCGAUUCGGGAAAGA